rnacentral:misc_RNA from 1 species
GGGCGUCGCUAGUACC